UAGGGUGCCUAUACUGCAAGUCGAGCGAACAGAUAAGGAGCUUGCUCCUUUGACGUUAGCGGCGGACGGGUGAGUAACACGUGGGUAACCUACCUAUAAGACUGGGAUAACUUCGGGAAACCGGAGCUAAUACCGGAUAACAUUUGGAACCGCAUGGUUCUAAAGUGAAAGAUGGUUUUGCUAUCACUUAUAGAUGGACCCGCGCCGUAUUAGCUAGUUGGUAAGGUAACGGCUUACCAAGGCGACGAUACGUAGCCGACCUGAGAGGGUGAUCGGCCACACUGGAACUGAGACACGGUCCAGACUCCUACGGGAGGCAGCAGUAGGGAAUCUUCCGCAAUGGGCGAAAGCCUGACGGAGCAACGCCGCGUGAGUGAUGAAGGGUUUCGGCUCGUAAAACUCUGUUAUUAGGGAAGAACAAACGUGUAAGUAACUGUGCACGUCUUGACGGUACCUAAUCAGAAAGCCACGGCUAACUACGUGCCAGCAGCCGCGGUAAUACGUAGGUGGCAAGCGUUAUCCGGAAUUAUUGGGCGUAAAGCGCGCGUAGGCGGUUUCUUAAGUCUGAUGUGAAAGCCCACGGCUCAACCGUGGAGGGUCAUUGGAAACUGGGAAACUUGAGUGCAGAAGAGGAAAGUGGAAUUCCAUGUGUAGCGGUGAAAUGCGCAGAGAUAUGGAGGAACACCAGUGGCGAAGGCGACUUUCUGGUCUGUAACUGACGCUGAUGUGCGAAAGCGUGGGGAUCAAACAGAUUAGAUACCCUGGUAGUCCACGCCGUAACGAUGAGUGCUAGUGUUAGGGGUUUCCGCCCCUUAGUGCUGCAGCUACGCAUAGCACUCGCUGGGGAGUACGACGCAGUUGAAACUCAAGGAAUUGACGGGGAC
rnacentral:rRNA from 1 species